GAAAUUUGUAAAUGAAACUGGACGACUGAAGUUUUAUUUAUGCCUUGUGCCGCUGGCCCGUUGCCUUGUUGUGCCCAUAUGUUGGCGACUGUGCUGGGUGUGGAUUAAAAUACACACUACUAUAACGUAUUUAGUAUUGUAGACGUCCAACAAGUGCUUCAUAACAGACGCAGACGUAUACAAAGUGCCACCUUAUCCUUGGCUUGACGAUAUUUUACGCCAUAGAAACGCUUGUAGUUAUUUGUACUCGUUAAAUUCAAAAUAAAAUUGUCAUAAAUCCAUAUCUACUGCAGCUACGUUAAGUAGUGUAAAUCUCAGUGCAUGAGAAUACAAGCCGAUUAAAAGAAACUGACAUCCGGGAAUACUGAGCGUCAGCCCACGCUUUGCCGCCUCGUUUUGUCAUGAAGGAAGAACCACUGGAUGCUUUCUCGCCGGUCGACACGGCAAACAAACAACAGGAAAUGCAAGAAGACGAAACAGAAGAAAAUGGAAGUGCAGGAAAUGAUGCAGAACCAUUCCAUGCAGAAGCAUUUCAAGCCCUGGAAACAGCUUUCAAAUGGUUCAAAAAACAGGGUGUGAGUUUAGUACAAUUAAACUGGAUUUGUGAUGGAGCAGUGCAAUGAAGAGAAAAAAAUGUUUAUGUUUGAUGACAAUUACCAAAUACUUUGAACAAAAUUAAACUACAGUGAUUGUCCUA